CAUCACGAGCUCAUUAUUUUGCUC
rnacentral:siRNA from 1 species